GACGAACGCUGGCGGCGUGCUUAACACAUGCAAGUCGAACGGAAAGGCCCUGCUUUUGUGGGGUGCUCGAGUGGCGAACGGGUGAGUAACACGUGAGUAACCUGCCCUUGACUUUGGGAUAACUUCAGGAAACUGGGGCUAAUACCGGAUAGGAGCUCCUGCUGCAUGGUGGGGGUUGGAAAGUUUCGGCGGUUGAGGAUGGACUCGCGGCUUAUCAGCUUGUUGGUGGGGUAGUGGCUUACCAAGGCUUUGACGGGUAACCGGCCUGAGAGGGUGACCGGCCACAUUGGGACUGAGAUACGGCCCAGACUCCUACGGGAGGCAGCAGUGGGGAAUAUUGCACAAUGGGCGGAAGCCUGAUGCAGCAACGCCGCGUGCGGGAUGACGGCCUUCGGGUUGUAAACCGCUUUCGCCUGUGACGAAGCGUGAGUGACGGUAAUGGGUAAAGAAGCACCGGCUAACUACGUG
rnacentral:rRNA from 1 species